UCCAUCUUAUCCCAUAGUACUACCUGCUAAACUAUUAAUAUAGUAGGGUUGGGGAAGAUGGGACAC
rnacentral:miRNA from 1 species